UUCCGUAAAACAUGAACCCCCAUCCCAUAUAUUUUCUCUCUCCUCUUUUCUCAACCUUCCGUGAAAAUAAUCUACUCUCUCUCUCCGUCUCGUCCUUUUUUUUAAAUCAUCUGAUUCUUUUUAAUUGUUUCAGAAAUUUCAUUUAAUUUAUAUUCCAAUAUCUAUUGUGUGGUGUUUCAGUUUCAAUCAGUCGUACAAUUUUUUCAUCAGUUUGUCGAUUGAUUUUGUCUGCUUGUGGAUUUUGAUGGUGUGUUUAGCGACAGUGACUCGGUAAUGAUAAACGAGUUACCUAAGAUAUAUGAGUCAUGGAUGGUGGAUUGAUGAAAUUGGGGAUUUUUGGUGGAAUUGGUAGGUAGUCGAUCUGAGAAGAGAGACAGGAAGGAGGUGGAAAAAUAAGAGAUAAGAAAACUUGUUCAUUUUGUUUAAUUUUGUUCAAAUGAACAAUAAAUUCCAAUUUUUUUUUUCUGUAUUGUGAUUAAUUUUGAGUAUUUUCUAUGAUUUUGAUCUUAUAAUUUUUGUUUACCUUAUUUUAAAAUUGGUGUUUUGGGUAUGGAGUUAGCAGAAAAUAAAGAGGAUAGAGGAAGAAGAAGAAGAACAAUAGUGCGGAAAAUUUGCUCAUUUUGUCCAAAUGAGCAAAAGAAAAAAUUAAAUGAACAACAAAAAAUCUAAAUGAGAAAAAAAAAACUCUGAAUUCCUUCUUAUUCUUCUCAUUAUAAGGUGUCUCUCAUUUGAGUAUAUAUAUAUAUGUAGAAUCGGGAUCUGGUGAGAACCACCCCUUAAGAUGAGAACUCAGAACUACUCUCAGCCGUUGAUCAAAACAAUCCAACGAUCCUCAUCCCGCCCGACCAAAUCAAACAACUAAGGGUAAUUUUGUAAUUGCAUCCGGCUGAAUGACCUCCCCCUUUUCACCCAUUUUUCAUAUUUUCUUUCUCUCUCUUCCUCCCGUUUUCUCUCUUUUUCCUCCCUCGUAUUAUAUGUUCUUCCUCAAAUCCUCUAGAACUACCAACACUCAGCUUCGAUUCAUCUUCUUCAACAUCUCGUGUACGAUUUUAUCUCUCUAAAUUUGCGAAGAAGACGGUAAUCAGGGUAAUCCACUACGUAAACAAGGGAAAGAUGGCCAGAAGGAAAAAGAUAAAUUUGUUAACCUUGUUGCUGGUUCAGCUUCUUUUUUCGUGAACUAUCAGAUCACUUUGCUGGUCACAACAAGUAUGUGAUUAUCAACACCAAGUCCACUACUGGUGGUUCUGCCUCUAUUCAUAACGUCGAUGUAGCAAUAGCCCAAAGGUGCGAAUGUUAGCCAAUGUAACAUUAAAGUGAAGGUUGUAGAUGAGGAAAAGCCUCAGAUCUCCCAUCCAAUGUCCGGGAGUGGUAGUCCUAGUAGGUUGCUUAAUUUGGUUAAUACAGCUCAAGCUCAGGCCAAGGCCUUGGUGCUGCUGUUACCCAAUUUAAUGGCAACAACAAUGUGAAUAUGAACAGGAAUGGGAAUGGCAAUGAGGAUGUAAGUAAUAGCAGUCAUCAUAAUCAUACUACUAAUUUUGAUGGGGGAAGAUUAGGGAGAGAGAAAUGGAGGAUCUAGUAAUUAAGGCUAACAUGAAGGAAAUGGCGGCAAAAGCCCUAUGGCACCUUGCCAGGGAGAAUUAUGCUAUCUGUAAGAGUAUCUGAGUCACGGGCAUUGCAAUUUUUUUAAUAUCUCAUAAUCGUAGGUUCAUCUUUAUUUUUGUAUUGUUUUAUUUACUUUUGUGUGAAAACCUUUACUUUGAAUUAUUUCGAUUUACUAAUUUUUUUGAUUUUUACUUUACUUUUAUUUA